rnacentral:rRNA from 1 species
UACGUAGGGUGCGAGCGUUAAUCGGAAUUACUGGGCGUAAAGCGUGCGCAGGCGGUUGUACAAGACAGGUGUAAAAUCCCCGGGCUCAACCUGGGAACUGCACUUGUGACUGUACGACUGGAGUACGGCAGAGGGGGAUGGAAUUCCGCGUGUAGCAGUGAAAUGCGUAGAUAUGCGGAGGAACACCGAUGGCGAAGGCAAUCCCCUGGGCCUGUACUGACGCUCAUGCACGAAAGCGUGGGGAGCAAACAGG